GUCUUUUUGAUUAUAAUUUAAAGUCUAAUCUGCUCAAUGAAAGUUUAAAUAGCCGCAGUAUUUUGACUGUGCAAAGGUAGCAUAAUAAUUAGUUUUUUAAUUAGAAACUUGUAUGAAUGAUUGGACAAGAAAAUUUCUGUCUCUUAUUAAUUUUUUUUGAAUUUAAUUUUUAAGUUAAAAUGCUUAAAUUUUUGUAAAAGACGAGAAGACCCCAUAGAGUUUUAUUUUCAAAGAUUUUUAGUAUAAUUUAUUAAAAUUGAAAAAUUAGUUGGGGUGACUUAAAGAUUAAAUAAACUCUUUAAAUUUUGAUCAUUGAUUUGUGAAUUGUGAUUCUAAUUUUUUAAGUUUAAAUUAAAUUACCUUGGGGAUAACAGCGUAAUUUCUUUUAAGAGUUCUUAUCAAAUAAGAAGAUUGCGACCUCGAUGUUGGAUUAAAAUUUAUUUUGGGUGUAGAAGCUUGAAAAUUAAGUCUGUUCGACUUUUAAAAUUUU
rnacentral:rRNA from 1 species